UACGGAGGGUGCGAGCGUUGUCCGGAAUCACUGGGCGUAAAGGGCGCGUAGGCGGCUUGGGACGUCUGUGGUGAAAGCUCGUGGCUCAACUGCGAGUCGGCCAUAGAUACUCCUAAGCUCGAGUCGACUAGAGGCAGAUGGAAUUCCGGGUGUAGCGGUGGAAUGCGUAGAGAUCCGGAAGAACACCGGUGGCGAAGGCGGUCUGCUGGGGUCGAACUGACGCUGAGGCGCGACAGCGUGGGGAGCAAACAGG
rnacentral:rRNA from 1 species